CGGGUGAGUAACACGUGGAUAACCUACCUAUAAGACUGGGAUAACUUCGGGAAACCGGAGCUAAUACCGGAUAAUAUAUUGAACCGCAUGGUUCAAUAGUGAAAGACGGUUUUGCUGUCACUUAUAGAUGGAUCCGCGCUGCAUUAGCUAGUUGGUAAGGUAACGGCUUACCAAGGCAACGAUGCGUAGCCGACCUGAGAGGGUGAUCGGCCACACUGGAACUGAGACACGGUCCAGACUCCUACGGGGAGGGCGAGCAGCA
rnacentral:rRNA from 1 species